AUUGAACGCUGGCGGCAUGCCUUACACAUGCAAGUCGAACGGUAACAGGUCUUCGGAUGCUGACGAGUGGCGAACGGGUGAGUAAUACAUCGGAACGUGCCUAGUAGUGGGGGAUAACUACUCGAAAGAGUGGCUAAUACCGCAUGAGAUCUACGGAUGAAAGCAGGGGAUCGCAAGACCUUGUGCUACUAGAGCGGCCGAUGGCAGAGUAGGUAGUUGGUGGGAUAAAAGCUUACCAAGCCGACGAUCUGUAGCUGGUCUGAGAGGACGAUCAGCCACACUGGGACUGAGACACGGCCCAGACUCCUACGGGAGGCAGCAGUGGGGAAUUUUGGACAAUGGGCGGAAGCCUGAUCCAGCAAUGCCGCGUGCAGGAUGAAGGCCUUCGGGUUGUAAACUGCUUUUGUACGGAACGAAAAGCCCCGGGUUAAUACCCCGGGGUCAUGACGGUACCGUAAGAAUAAGCACCGGCUAACUACGUGCCAGCAGCCGCAGUAA
rnacentral:rRNA from 1 species